CCAAAGCUGAUAUGAAGACUUCUAUGGAACUGUUGAAUUAACCAAUGCUGGACCCACCCUACCCCCUGGAUUCUUGCUUGAUGAGGCAGCAAAUAUCUAUUGUUCAACCCAGGGGAACUUGAAAAUGACACAGAGAGAAAUGCAAGUGGCAAUAGGAUCCAGAAACCGAGAGACUCAUGGAAAGGAGGCAGCCGGUGGAAGCAGGAGACAGCAGAAGCCAAGCCAAACAGCAAAAGAAGGAAAUUGAAAGGAGCCAGAAGGGGUCAUCUGAGAGAUGUCAAGAGUGGCAGCAGAAACAGACAGGCACCUCCUGUGCCAAUGCCUGCUUUUGAGAGAUCAAGAUCAUGGUAUCUGUAGACUGAGAACAAAGUGUGAGACUCAGAACUAAGUCCAUUCAAGCUCUGCAUUUCUUUGUUAUGUCCCUUUCAUCAGUAAUUUCCA
rnacentral:lncRNA from 10 species